GCCUCCAUAGCUCAGUCGGUAGAGCGGCAGUUUUGUAAACUGUAGGUCGUCGGUUCGAUCCCGGCUGGAGGCU
rnacentral:tRNA from 1 species